rnacentral:rRNA from 1 species
GACGAACGCUGGCGGCGUGCUUAACACAUGCAAGUCGAACGGAAAGGCCCUGCUUUUGUUGGGUGCUCGAUUGGCGAACGGGUGAGUAACACGUGAGUAACCUGCCCUUGACUUUGGGAUAACUUCAGGAAACUGGGGCUAAUACCGGAUAGGAGCUCCUGCUGCAUGGUGGGGGUUGGAAAGUUUCGGCGUUUGUGGAUGGACUCGCGGCUUAUCCGCUUGUUGGUGGGGUAGUGGCUUACCAAGGCUUUGACGGGUAGCCGGCCUGGGAGGGUGACCGGCCACAUUGGGACUGCGAGACGGCCCAGAAUGCUAUGGGAGGCAGCAGUGGGGAAUAUUGCACAAUGGGCGGAAGCGAGAGACAGCAACGCCGCGUGCGGGAUGACGUCCUUCGGGUGGUAAACCGCUGUCGCAGGUGACGAAGCGUGAGUGACGGUAAUGGGUAAAGAAGCACCGGCUAACUACGUG